CGCGUAGGCGGGUCGGCAAGUCCGGGGUGAAAGCCCCCAGCUCAACUGGGGAAGUGCCUUGGAAACUGCCGGUCUCGAGGGAGGUAGAGGCCUGUGGAACUUCGGGUGGAGCGGUGAAAUGCGUUGAUAUCCGAAGGAACGCCGGUGGCGAAAGCGACGGGCUGGAUCUCUUCUGACGCUGAGGCGCGAAAGCUAGGGUAGCGAAAG
rnacentral:rRNA from 1 species